rnacentral:lncRNA from 1 species
GAAAUGAAUGAUUUUUACUACGCUGGGGGCGUAGCCCAUCACGCGCCGCGUGAUGGAGCUCACAGGGAGCAAGGAUUUUCACUCUGAUCACGCGCGGCGUGAUACUUGACCACGCGCGGCGUGAAAGCUGGUUCAGGAACUGGGUUGCUCUCUGACUUGACUACGCGCGGCGUGAUACUUGACCACGCGCGGCGUGAAGUCUUGAUUGAAGAUGAAGAUUGCCUCUGACUUGAUCACGCGCCGCGUGAUUCUGUUACCACGCGCGGCGUAGUUGAUGGAAUUGCAACCACGCGCGGCAUGUUGGAUCUGGCGCGCGGCGUGGUUGCCUUCUGUAUAUAUAUUUUCUGCAUAAUUCUGUUUUCGAGUUGGAAAAUUCUGCAUCUUUUCACUACAUUCUGGUUUUGGAACUUGAAGAUCGUGAUUCAACACUCCAGCAGAGAGCUCCAAGCGCAUCAGAUCAUGGAUUCACAAGCCGUGGCGAUGAAGCGAGGAAGCGUAC